GCAGUGGUAGGUCAGUGGUAGAACUCUCGCCUUCCAUGAGGGAGACUCUGGGUUUGAUUCCCAGCCAGUCCG
rnacentral:tRNA from 1 species